GAUGAACGCUAGCUACAGGCUUAACACAUGCAAGUCGAGGGACCGGCGCACGGGUGAGUAACACGUAUCCAACCUGCCCUUUACUCGGGGAUAGCCUUUCGCAAGAACGAUUAAUACCCGAUAUAAAGGAUGGGGAUGCGUUCCUUUAGGUUGUUGGUGAGGUAACGGCUCACCCAGCCUUCGAUGGAUAGGGGUUCUGAGAGGAAGGUCCCCCACAUUGGAACUUAGACACGGACCAAACUCCUACGGGAGGCAGCAGUGAGGAAUAUUGUGCAAUGGACGCUAGCCUGAACCAGCCAAGUAGCGUGAAGGAGGAAGGCUUAUGGGUCUUAAACUUCUUUUAUAUAAGAAUAUGUAUUAUAUGAAUAAGGAUCGGCUAACUCCGUGCCAGCCGCCGCGGUAAUUC
rnacentral:rRNA from 1 species